CCAUUCCCUCUUUCUCUCUCUAGGGUUUUUCUCUCUCUAGAUAAAAGUCGCCGUUUCGCGCCGAUUUCGCGCCGCGCUCGACUCUCGCUGGUUAGACGACUCAAGGGAAGUCUUUGGAACGUGGGAAAGAAGGGUUUCAUUGCGUUUGCUGUGAGGUUACUGCCAGGGAAGCUAACUCUCAGCUUUAGAGAGUUUGGGAAUUGAAUCUUCGCAGCAGGUUUCUGAACCACGUGGAGCUUAUUUGGUGACCUGGGAGGCUGGUUUAGAAGGUGUUCUACCCUAAGCAGGAAUUCAACUGACCUUUGGGUCAUCUUUGGUUGGCUUUGAGAAGCCUUUAGAGACUUAAUCGGAGCGGAGUUGAGGCCUAUUGGAGUUGAUUGUGGGACAUAGUAAUAGAGCCUGUUACAGGAGAGGCUAGGGAUCGUGGCAAGGGAGUCGCG